CUCGGACGCAGCGUCCAGGCUGUUGGCGGUGGCCUGUCCUUCUCCGAUCGGCGUUAUGUUCAGCGGAACGGGCUUUUUCUUUGGAGCCAUUUCACCGGCAGCUGGCCGAUCUAAACCUAAACGCUUUAAAGAAAUGACACCGAGACAAAACUGUAGACCUGCACAAGGCUGGGACAGACUACAGGACAGGCAAGCAGCAUGGUAGAAGACAACAACUGUUAUGACUAUUUAUUAGAAAGUGGAAGAAACACAAGAUGACUGUCAAUCUCCCUCGGUCUGGGAUUCCAUGCAAGAUCUCACUUUGUGGGGUAAGGAUGAUUCUGAGAAAGCUCAGAACUACACAGGAGAACCUGGUCAAUGACCUGAAGAGAGCUGGGACCACAGUCGCAAUGAUUACAUUGGUAACACAUGUCAUGGUGUAAAAUCCUGCAGGGCAGCAAGGUCCCCCUUCUCAAGCCAGCACAUG